rnacentral:rRNA from 1 species
GCGUGAGAAUCUGCCCUUAGGAAGAGGAUAACAGCUGGAAACGGUUGCUAAUACUCUAUACGCCGAGAGGUAAAAGGAUUUAUCCACCUUAGGAAGAGCUCGCGUCUGAUUAGCUUGUUGGUAAGGUAAUGGUUUACCAAGGCGACGAUCAGUAGCUGGUUUGAGAAGACGACCAGCCACACUGGGACUGAGACACGGCCCAGACUCCUACGGGAGGCAGCAGUGGGGAAUUUUCCGCAAUGGGCGAAAGCCUGACGGAGCAAUACCGCGUGAGGGAUGAAAGCCUGUGGGUUGUAAACCUCUUUUCUCAAGGAAGAAGUUCUGACGGUACUUGAGGAAUAAGCAUCGGCUAACUCUGUGCCAGCAGCCGCGGUAAUACAGAGGAUGCAAGCGUUAUCCGGAAUCACUGGGCAUAAAGCGUCUGUAGGUUGCCUACCAAGUCUGCUGUUAAAGAUCAGGGCCUAACCCUGGGAAAGCAGUGGAAACUAGUAGGCUUGAGUGUGGUAGA